UUUUCCUUUUCUAAAAACAUAGUUUGUAUCCCUCCCCCACUCCCUCCUUCCUUCAACAAAUGCUCCCUAGUCACCAGCUGGCUUGUUCUAGGCCUGAGGCUUCAGGCGGAAUGAGCUGACUUCACACUCACAGAGACAGCUGCAUCCUGGAGUGACUGGUGCUCCUGGGGCUGGGAAGGCUUCCUGGAGGCAGUGGUGACCAAAGGGGCACUGACGCAUGAAUAGGAGUUAGUCCGGUUUGGGGGCUAUGGCAGGUGGGAGGAGACAUUCUAGGCUCGGAGGAGAGGUGGAGCUGGGAACUGUGGCAGGUGGGGUGAGAUAAGGGUCCCUGAAGGGCUGGCCAAGGGCUUUGGACUUGAUCUCGAGGGUCAUGGGGAGUCAGUGGAGAGUUGAAGCAGGCCAGAGAGGGAGGCCAGACAUGCACUUUAGAAACUCAUCUGGCUGCGCACAGUUAGGGGUGGGGGGACCAUGAAAUGGGGCUUCCCUUCCCCUUUUGCCUCCCCUCCCCCGCCCUCUGGCCCCCAGCCAGGAGGGCAGCCCUUGACCUCUUCACCCCCAGGAUCAAGGGUCAGGAUGAGUUCAAAUCUCCAUUCCCCACUGCCUGUGAGGCUUUGAUUUCAGGGCCUCCGAAAAGGGCCUGUUUGUGAACAGGAACUCAGGCAGGUUAGCUUCCCUGCACCUCCUUCCAGCACCUUCUCUCCAAACCCUGACUCUGAUAAGCCCCGGCCCCCGCCUAGCAGCCCCUUUCGGCCCUGGAUCACUGCCUCUCCUCCGCGCAGAGGUGGGGGAGGGGGUGGUUCCAUCCCCAAACACAAGCUCUUUUGUUCCACCACUCAGCUCAGCCCUCAGCCCUGCAUCGCACUGAUGGAGGUUUUUCUGGCACUCAGGGAGCCCCAGGUCAGCUGAAGGAUGAGGGGUUGGGGACAGAGGCUGGAGGACAGAUUUCUGGCUACAGCUUUGACCUUGUCCCUCCCCUCCUUGGUUCAAAUCCCCUUCCUUGGCUCCUGCUUACUCUGGGACGGUAAACCUUUUUUUUUUUUUUUUUUUUUUUUUGCUUUUUAGGGCAGCACCUGGGGCUCAUGGAAGUUUCCAGGCCAGGGAAGCUGCAGCUGCCGGACUGCACUGCAGCCUCGGCCACACAGGAUCUGAGCCGUGUCUGCGACCCACACCACAGCUCAAGAAAACACUAGAUCCUUAACCCACUGAGUGAGGCCAGGGAUCAAACUCACAUCCUCAUGGAUAUUAGUCAGGUUCAUAACCACCGAGCCACAACGGGAAUUCCCUGGGAAAGUGAUUCUUAGUCGGGUGCAAUUUUAUCCCAAAGGAAACAUUUUGCAGCAUCUGGAAACAUUUUUGGUUAGGCUGGGGGUUGGGGGCAGUUAAGAUACUGGCAUCUAGUGGGCAGAGGCUGGGGAUGCUGCUAAACACCCUCCAGUGACAGCUGGGUCCCCACAACGGAAUUAUCCAGCUCCAAGUGGCAACAGAGCCAAGGCUGAGACACCCCACCUGAGGGUACAGCCCCCUCACCCUGUGUCCUCAGCCGCUACAAAGUCAGUCACCCCCAAGCCUCAGGCUGGGAAGCCCCAGACACUCGUUCCCACUCUGCACCCUUGCUCUGGCUGUUUCCCUGGCUGGAGUGCCCUCCACCCCCCAGAAGUCAUCCCUGACUCCCUGAUACCAACUGCUCCCUUCCCUGAUCUGCGCUGCCAGCUUUGGCCCUCAGGUGAGCAGAGGCCCCAGGCCCCUCCCGCAGGACUAGGCACUUGGAGCAACCACCGCAGAAUCACAGGAACGCCACGUGGGAUGCAUACUGGCUUUGGAGCCAGCAGGACCAGGGUUCAAAUCCUGCUCUGCCACUUCUGAGCAUUUGGCCAGGGGCAGAUCGCCACAUGUCUCUGUGACUCAGUUUCCUCCUCUGUGAGGUGGGGACAGGCCUUCUAGAGAGAGUUCUGUGAGCUGUGCCUUCUCCCUCCCCUACCCCAUUCCCUGUCUGCCUGAUUCCUCUCGUCCCCAUCCCUCCAUCCCCCCCACCUCUGGCCAAUCGCAGGUGGUGAACCUUCUACUCUUGGGGCCAAGAAGAGGAGAAUGAGAGCGGCCCUCCUACUUCUCCCUAGAAACUGAGCUUUGCCCUGAGCUGCUGAGGACCCUGGAGAAAGACCUUGGACACCGGAGGUGAGGCAGGCCUGGGUGGGCUGCGGUGGCUCAGGGGCGCUGCUGCCCUCUUGGCUCCCCGCCUUCUUGGCCUCCGCCUCCAUGCGCUGAUCUCAGCUUCCCAGCCCCCUUCUGUCUGGGCUGAGC
rnacentral:lncRNA from 1 species